rnacentral:tRNA from 1 species
GGAAAUGAGAGGCUCAAGAAGAAGCUGCUAACUUUUCUCUUUAACGGUUAAACUCCGUUUGCAUUUCUA